rnacentral:rRNA from 1 species
GAGUUUGAUCCUGGCUCAGAACGAACGCUGGCGGCAUGCCUAACACAUGCAAGUCGAACGAGACCUUCGGGUCUAGUGGCGCACGGGUGCGUAACGCGUGGGAAUCUGCCCCUUGGUUCGGAAUAACAGUGGGAAACUACUGCUAAUACCGGAUGACGACGUAGGUCCAAAGAUUUAUCGCCGAGGGAUGAGCCCGCGUAGGAUUAGCUGGUUGGUGAGGUAAUGGCUCACCAAGGCGACGAUCCUUAGCUGGUCUGAGAGGAUGAUCAGCCACAUUGGGACUGAGACACGGCCCAAACUCCUACGGGAGGCAGCAGUGGGGAAUAUUGGACAAUGGGCGCAAGCCUGAUCCAGCCAUGCCGCGUGAGUGAUGAAGGCCCUAGGGUUGUAAAGCUCUUUUGUGCGGGAAGAUAAUGACGGUACCGCAAGAAUAAGCCCCGGCUAACUUCGUGCCAGCAGCCGCGGUAAUACG